GAGGGUAUAGCUCAGUGAUAGAGUGGAUGCUUAGCAUGCACGAGGUCCUGAGUUCAAUCCCCAGUACCUCCA
rfam:Camelus ferus unplaced genomic scaffold scaffold69814, whole genome shotgun sequence.